rnacentral:rRNA from 1 species
AUCAGGGGUAAACCUGUGAAACUCGAACGAGCGAACGGGGAGAUUCAUUCAUCGCUCUUCCGUCAAAUAACAGAGUCCGCGGCGCGAGGUACAGUACGGCGUCGGUCGCGCGCAGCGAUGCGCGCGACGGGCGUCGCGCUUCGCGCCGUCGUCAGGCUCGCGGAGUGCGUGCACUUCUCCCCAAGUAAAACACCGCGACCCGUUGAUGUCUGAGGCGGGGUCGAACGCGCCGUGCGGCCGUCCCGCCGCUCGCCUCGGCGAGCGGCGGAGCCGCGGCGUCGCGGCCCCCCAUCGACGGUACAGAACGAGGUACGCGUCCGCCCGCCGCGCCGGCAACGGCGCGCAGCGGGCGUCCGCCGUGCGACGGCGUCGUCCCCCGUUCGGUCCUCGGCGCCGCAAGGCGUCGCGGGUAUCGAACGCGGUCCGACGGCGGACGGGCGCUCUGUCGGCUCUCGCGGCCGGCUCGUCCGCCCGCCGUCUCGGACGGCGCGCUCGGUCGCAUCGGCUCGGACGGGACGCGUCCCGGUCGGCGGUGGUUUUGUUUCGGGCACUCACAGGACCCGUCUUGAA